rnacentral:rRNA from 1 species
UACGAAGGGUGCAAGCGUUGCUCGGAAUCAUUGGGCGUAAAGCGAGCGCGGGUGGUUUUGUAAGUCAGGAGUGAAAGCCCAGGGCUCAACCCUGGAAGUGCUUUUGAUACUGCAAAACUUGAGUGUGGGAGAGGGUGCUAGAAUUCCUGGUGUAGUGGUGAAAUACGUAGAUAUCAGGAGGAACACCGGUGGCGAAGGCGGGCACCUGGCCCAACACUGACAAUUAGGCUCGAAAGCGUGGGGAUCAAACAGG